GCUGCGCACGAGAACCGUGUUGCCCGGACUCCACGUGGCAGUGGACUCCAGAGUCUCCACUGCCCCCCUGAGCUCCCUGAGGGCAGGACAUGCGGCUCAGUCACCGAGUCCUCCCUGUCCAGCAUUUAUCCUUGUGUGCCGUGCUCUCCUCCAUUGGUUUCUGCAUGUGGACACCUGCCCGCAGUUUCCUUUCCAACCUAUCCUGGCUUGGGCCUCCGGAACGCGUGCGCUCUGCGAAAUGAGUUCCUGGGGUGCAUGGCGCCUUCCUGUGCUCUCUGGAAACAUCUGUCUGGCCUGGAAGUAAUCUGCUCCGUGACCAUCUGGAAGCCUAGCCUGUGAGCUGCCUGGGCCUGGGACCCCGCGAGAGAUCAUUCUUGAAUAACAUUUUCAAUGUCAUCUACAGCUUUUUGUCUAUUGCUUAUUGAUUCAAUUAUGGGGCCCGUUUUCCUAGAGAAGAGAAAAGCACAUAUUGCCUAAA